ensembl:lncRNA
CAAGCCCUAGCCUCAAAGGGUGUCAUAUCUUAAUGCUAGAGAAUGAGUUGGAGGGGAAGAUGAGUGUUUAUGUAAGAGUCUAGGCCUCAGGGAGAUGGCUUGAAGGGUCCCUCUUCCCUCUUCUACAGAGGGAGCAGAGAUGGUGAGCUGGAAAGGAAGACCAACUCUCUCCAGGAAGUCUGGGUUUACAAGCCUAGUGGCCCUGGGUUGUUUGGGCCACAGGGAAAAAAGCUGGGCUGGGGUGGGAGGCCUGGGGCCCUGAGCUGCCCUCCCCCUCACAUGGUGCUAGGUUGGGGCUGACUUGGAGUGGGAUGCCCACAGGGACCCACAGAAUUGUCUCCAGUCCCUGCAGACACAGGUUCCCUGAUUGUUUUCUGCUUGGGUUCUGUUCCUGUCCCCUUUUAACAAUGUGAAGUGACCAAGGUUGGGUUGCCUUUCCCUGCCCCCCCUCCCCCAACUGCCAGUUCAUUGUUCACCAGGCGUCUAGGACAUUCUGGCAUCCUGGGCUUGGAAGGGUCCCAAGACAGGCACAGAGUAGGUCCAGAAAUGGAUGGUGGCCUUGGUCAAUGUCACAGAGUUGUUGGAAGCAGUACCAAGAGCUAAAUUCAGGCCACUGCUUCUGAGCCCAGUGCUUUCCCAGUACCACACUGCCUCCGAGCCCACCUUCGGGGCCCUCCUGUGUUCCAGGUUCCUGUCUUUCCCUCAGUCACAGCUGUGGUCAUUCCAGGACAUGGGGACAAACCACUCUUUCCCAGUCAGGUGCCUUUGAGCCUUCCCCUUCCGAGACCUGCACACCACCUUUCCUGCUGUGUUCUCUUGCUUCUGGCAUUCAUCCAUCCUGGUGGCUGUCUUCAUUCUGAGCUAGUCUCUCCUUGAGUUCUCCAUUGUUGUGGAGAGCGUUGGAUGCUCAGGGGAACCUGCAUGUGUGGUUUUGGUGUGUAGAGCCAUGUCACAUCAUGUUUCUCAUUGGGGUCUUGGAGCUUGUGGAUUCUGCUCACUAAACAGUACCUGAGGACAGGGUUGAAUAUGCUCCAACACCCUGCCUGCAAGCUGGAACCAGACUCAGAGUCAGGUCAGUGUGUGCCCUUAGCCUCACUUCUCACUGUCAGUGAGGAUGGCUCUUGUAUUCUGAAAGUUACUCUCUGUAUAAAACCCUGUGAGAACUGAGGUAAGGUUGUUGGAGAGGCCCUUGUAUAGCCUGCACUUCCGUUAGCCUCUGCCUCUGGCCUCAGGUGGAAGCAGGCAGGUUGGAGACCCUGGCAGACAGAGGAGUUACUGUCUGUGGUCUGUUUCUUUCUAAGACCACCGAGACUGCCAUCUGCUCUAAGCUUGUAGGUUAUUGCUGCUACUCUGUUCCUUCUUGCUACUGGACCCAGAUUCUGCCCCAUCUUGCAGAUAUUGGGUCUUAGAAAACAGAUAUGCUUGAUCUAGGAUCUCUCAACUAGAGUGUCCACUGAUUGACUAGAAGCAUUUGGAAAAAAAAAAAAAAGUUGGAGGGAAUUCAUUUCAAUUGUUCAGGCCAUUCCCCUGUCCCUUCUGCACUCUCUACCAGCAGCCUUUGCCUUAUGGGUGCAGAUCACCUGCAACUGCCUCAGUCAUUCCAGGUUCUAGAGCUUUCUCUGGGGCCAGCACCUCCGAGAGAAUGAAGUUAAAAUGGUCCUUUUCACACCCUGACAUAUGAGCAGCGGGUGCUUCCAGCACCCUGGAGCCCCACAGCCAUGUCAGUGGGCAGAGCAAGUUCAGAACUGUCUCAGCCAGUGUUGGGUGGUGAGUGCCAGCCACCUUUAUCUGGACUGAAGGAGGUUAGCAUUCGCCAGUUUGUCUUCUUUUCUCUGUACGUGUAUGUGUUUUUAAAGUGAGUUGCGGGUACAUGAGACUGUUAUCCCUUGUGUUGCCCUGAGAGGUAAGGGCCUUCUGCCAGACCAGCCAGUGCCACAGCUGAGACAGUAGUCCCAACCCACUAACAGCUGCUGUCUUGUCUGUACCCAAAGGUCUCCCCUACCCCACCCCACCCCUUUGCAAUUAUACCAGUUUUAGUAUUAGAUCCAGUCAGGGCAAGAACAUAGUAUUUUAUUUUAAAAGUUUUUCCUCUGCCCAUCUGAUUAAAAAAAAAAAAGUUUGGUUUUUGUUUGUUUGAGACAAGGUCUCAUUAUGUAGUCUUGGCUAGCCUGGAAUUUGCUAUGUAGACCAGGUUAGCCCUGGAACUCAUAGAGAUCCACUUGACUCUCAAGAGCUGAGAUUAAAUGUGUGCACUUACCAGGUCCAGUCUAAAAUAGUAUUUUGUUUGUUUGUUUGUUUUGAGACAGGGUCUCACCAUGUAACUCUGGCUGUCCUGGAAAUUGCUUUGUGACCCAGCCUGACUUUGAACUCAGAGAUCCACCUGCCUCUGCCUCCCAAGCGCUGGGAUUAAAGGUGUGCACCAUCACUGCCUGUCCCCAAAUGGUGUUAUUUUUAAGGCCAGAGGGUCUGUUGUCAUACAGAAGUUCCACAUUCCAGAUCCAGUUGUUUCCUCCUAGUCCUUUAGCCCACAUGUUUUCAAGGGUAAUUUUGCUUUUUGUGCUAAUGUGGCAUUUCCCUCCUGCCUAAGGUGUGCCUCCUUCUACCACCACCUGUAGCAAGGGCCAAACCAGCUUGGAGGAGGGGAAGGGCUCCCUGAAGAGACAGCGUUACAUUGGGAGGGUCUGAGGGCACUGUGGGAUGGGGUGACCUGUUGAACUGCCCCAGGGAGGCCAGGCUGCCCCAUGCUGAACACAGCAUCCAUGUUUUUCCAUCUCUUUCCUUCUCUGUCUUUGUUUUGGCUUUGUCCCUGCUUCUGUUCUGUGGUUUUCUGAUCUUCACUUUCUAGAUGGUCCAUGUGCACUGGAGCAGGAAUAAGACCUCAGAUUAUGACAGGAAGGGCUAGAUGGAAAAAUGCCUCCUCUAGCUGAGGUGUGAGAAGAGCACUGGGUACAGGGUGGCCAUGUGACAGUCUUCCUCCCAAGGCCCUAGCUUCCCCUUCCAUAAAAUGAGGAGAUGGAAGCUACAGCAAGGGUUUCCACAUGUCCAUGCAAGAAUCAACUGUAUGUACUCUGUGUGGAAUGAGGUUAGGAGUUUGCCCCUCACCCACUUCCAGGCCUUCCAUGCAGUGCUGGGGUCAAGGUUGUCUGGCUCUGGGCUUGAUACCCUUGCCAGCUCUGAGCAGGCUGGGCAAAGACUGUGUGUGUCGACUCUGCUGAGGGCCAGUGUGAAGGCCAGGGGAGACUCCCCACAGUGUUUCUGCCUAAGAAGUUCACUUCUCCCUCUUCUCUCCCUGGCCUGGAGGAGGCCACCAGAGGAAAGGGUUUUCUAUGACUGAGCUAGCUUUUCUUAUGGGCAAGAGGGCUCUUUUUGUAAUUUGUGCAUGAAAUUCAUGUUAUUUCCUGGGGAGAGAAGAGGGCCAACUGAGUGGGUGGGGGGCACGUUUGGGAGGCAGGCAGAGGUUUUCCUUCCCUGCAGGGGUGGGAAGGGGUUGCAGAGAGCAUGCUACCCAGCUCACCUGAAGAGGGCUCUUGAACCAGCCAUUUUGGGUUGUGUUAAACGUGGGAACUUUCCUCCAUUAAUGUACAAUCUUGAACUAACUGCUAAUAAAAUGGGAUUCUGUUUGUA